rnacentral:rRNA from 1 species
UCGAGCGCGCCCUUCGGGGUGAGCGGCGGACGGGUGAGUAACGCGUGGUGAAUAUGCCCUUCUCUAAGGAAUAGCCUCUGGAAACGGAGAGUAAUACCUUAUACGCCCUUUGGGGGAAAGAUUUAUCGGAGAAGGAUUAGCCCGCGUUAGAUUAGGUAGUUGGUGGGGUAAUGGCCUACCAAGCCUACGAUCUAUAGCUGGUUUGAGAGGAUGAUCAGCCACACUGGGACUGAGACACGGCCCAGACUCCUACGGGAGGCAGCAGUAGGGAAUCUUAGACAAUGGGGGCAACCCUGAUCUAGCCAUGCCGCGUGUGUGAUGAAGGCCCUAGGGUCNUAAAGCACUUUCGCCAGAGAUGAUAAUGACAGUAUCUGGUAAAGAAACCCCGGCUAACUCCGUGCCAGCAGCCGCGGUAAUACGGAGGGGGUUAGCGUUGUUCGGAAUUACUGGGCGUAAAGCGCACGUAGGCGGAUUAGUAAGUUAGAGGUGAAAUCCCAGGGCUCAACCCUGGAACUGCCUUUAAUACUGCUAGUCUUGAGUUCGAGAGAGGUAAGUGNAAUUCCGAGUGUAGAGGUGAAAUUCGUAGAUAUUCGGAGGAACACCAGUGGCGAAGGCGGCUUACUGGCUCGAUACUGACGCUGAGGUGCGAAAGUGUGGGGAGCAAACAGGAUUAGAU